rnacentral:misc_RNA from 1 species
UCACCCCUCAAGCCCGGCUUGUUGUUGGGGCCCCGCCUACCCCCGCGUAGGCGCGCCCUCGAAUGCAUCGGCGCGGCCACCGGCCACCCCAGACACCGCGUUGUCAGAAGGUGGACGGCGAGUCGCCGCCUCGAAAACGUACCGCAAA